rnacentral:rRNA from 1 species
CUCAAAGAUUAAGCCAUGCAAGUGGUUAUAUUAACCCGACAGUUUAAAUAAGUGUUAAAUGCUACCAUUAAACUUAUCACACAUAUCACGCAUAGACCGAUUUUGUUUACAGUAGUAACAAUUUCAGCGUGAAUCACCCAUCACAGUGAAUCACUGAAAUUUACCCAAUAUCAGUAUCACUUACGCAACUGCAGACAGCUGCUUAAUACAGUCACACUUGUCUUGACUUGGCGCAAUAAAGAUUUUCAUUGAAACACCCGUUCUGCGGGCAGAUCGGUGAUCAUUUUUGUUUUGUUGCAUUCACGCAUACAAAAUUUUUUGAUUUCUCUNUAUCGCUUAUUCUUAAGGACAACGCGUUACACCGUGACAAAUUUCUUUAUGGAUAACUCAGGGAAAGUUUGGCUAAAUGACGUACGAGUACAUUUUUUUUCUACACACACACACACACACACACACUCAAAUUAUCUUUGUAUUGCUGUGUAUCAACUACUACUCANCACUCARUGGUAAACUUUGGCUGCGCUUGCGCGGUCAGUUUAAAGUUUAACUGCAACAUGAGAGACAUUGAGCACGCACGUGUUGUGUCUUCGGACGCUUCACAUCACGCUGAGCAGACUUUGCGAAGUUUACUUUGCGAAGCAUGUCAUACAAGCAUCUACAGCAUCAAGUCACAGGGGUGGCAAGUGUAUUUUUGAACCUUCAAAGCAGUCACGCAUACGGAAGAGUAGUUUCUGAUCCCAUAGAAGGAGCACCGUACAAUGAGAGACCGCUCUUAGUUCUAAGGAACGCAGCAGGCGCGUAAAUUGCCCAAUGCUAGUACCCUACAAUCAAAUUGUAUUUACAUGCGUUAACAAUUUACAACAUACAAGUUUUAAUGACAGACAUUAUCAACACUUUCAUUUUUUCUGUUAUAUAUCAUACACAAUAUAUCCUUGUUCGUUGUACAUCAGCAUAUAUAGUAUUAAUUUAUUAUUUUACUGAGGCAGUGACAAGCUGUAACGGUUGAGUAUAAAAAUGACGAGUGUCUGGCAUUGCCGCUCUUUCGGGAGCUUGGCAAGUUGCCGACGCUUUGUGUGCUCAAUUGGAAUGCGGUGAGUUUAAGCAAGUNNNNNNNNNNNNNNNNNNNNNNNNNNNNNNNNNNNNNNNNNNNNNNNNNNNNNNNNNNNNNNNNNNNNNNNNNNNNNNNNNCCGCGGUAAUACCAGCUCCACUGGCCUAUACAAUCAUUGUUGCGGUUAAGAGGCUCGUAGUUGGAUUGAACUGCAAAUACGAAUGAAUUUCUCAUUCUGUUUGAAGUUUUACGCAUUACAAAAUAUACAUUUCUGUGCUCGCAUAGAUUUUUACUUUUUUUUUUUUGCGUUCRACSCUGUUAAAAUUUAUACAAUUUCACCGUUGUAUUCAAAUUUUAUUUUUUACMCGGCACAAAUUUUUACGGCACACACCCWUUAUWUUUUUUUCRACACACACACGUAUAUUUUUKGCAAACGCGCGGRAAAUCUUUGUAUCRAACACUCGCUUAAAAUUUAUUCUCCUUUUCAACACUGUGAACAAAUCAAAGUGWAUCAAACAUGUCGUUAUUGAAUGUGCAUUGAAUGYCUUAUCAGGGGAUGUUGCACUUUCUGCGUUAAAAUUUUUACUGCACUUUUUACAAAGSCGCUGUACAUUGUUUUUUUUUANCWUUACACACAUAUUUUCUGUCAUGCUGCGGCCCGUUUAGGGAAGUUAUACUAGCAUGCAGAUACACGCACAUGUUACAUGCCACGUAAAUUUUAUUAUCUUAUAUACUCUUACGGUAAAUUUUUUUAACGGUUAAAAAUGUCGAUGGGGAUAGUUGGAGUCAACAGUACUGCUGGGCGAGCGGUGAAAUGCAUUGACCCUAGCAAGACUACCAAAAGCGAAAGCAGUUGGCUAGGCUAUACUCUUUGUGAUUAUAUCUUACGCGCUGAAAUUAUUCAUUGCUUUAUACGCACAUUUUACACACACACACACACGCGCAUAUACUGCAUCAGAAUUUUUUUCACUGCGCGUAUAAUAUAUAUACACUUUACAAUGAAGAACGAAGGUUGGGGGAUCAAAGAGGAUCAGAUACCCUCGUCGUCCCAUUAAUUACAUCAAACGAUGGACUCUCAAUUGCAUUUUUUAUUAAAUUGCAAAUUUCCUCAGCCUACAAAAUGACUUGGCUUGAGCUCGUAUUUUUAUACGCUCGCCUAACUUUUUUCGUACGGUCUCGAUGGACGUUUCAUUUAUAUUUUUUGCGUGUAAGCAUUUGUUAUUCUUUGAAACAUAAGAAUGCAUUGCGUGCACUUGAUUUUCGGAGCUUUGCGCUCAAUUCUGGUGAGAUGUAAGCACUGUGUCAUACUACCCGCAGCAUAUACCUUCGGGUAUUUUGUCUGUCGUGUGUAGUUGACAAUCUUGGUGUGAAGCACGCUUUAGGCACGCGCUUACUGCAGAAAUGUCUGAGACACUCUCCUCUGGGGGAAGUAUGCACGCAAGUGUGAAACUUGAAGGAAUUGACGGAAGGGCACCACAAGAACGCGUGGAGCAUGUGGCUUAAUUUGACUCAACGCGGGAAAUCUUACCGGGUCCGGACACACUGAGGAUUGACAGGCAAUAUUAAUACUUUUUUUGCUUCGGCAAUAUUUGGUAUUAUGUUAAAUAUGCUAGUCCUUUCAUGAUUAUGUGAUAGGUGGUGCAUGGCCGUUCUUAGUUCGUGUAGUGAUCUGUCUGCUUAAUUGCGUUUCACUAAGGGCCUAUAAAUUUACGUAUGUUGCAUCGCACUUUGACCCCUUUCUUAAUUGAAAGCGCGUGUCUUAGUUUCGCUUUGCUCAUACAAUUAGGUCCUGAAAGCAACGAACGUGACCGCAACCUCUUGUUGCCUUUAUACCAAACAUGUUUAUUCAUUUUUUAAUGUUCAUUCAUGAAAAAAGGCUUUUUAAACUAGAGGGACCGCUGUUACUUUCUUAAACCAGAGGAAGGUUGCGGCAAUAACAGGUCUGUGAUGCCCUUAGAUGUUCCGGGCUGCACACGUGCUACAAUGAUUAUUGCAGUGAGCAUCUCAUUUUUACACACCGCAUGCGCGAGUCCAUUUAUUCACCUUCGGGUGUUUUAAAUGUGUACCUCUGCGCGCGGUAAAGCCUGCUUCGAAAGUAAGUGGGUAAUCAAUUAGAAGUAAUGAUUUCCUUUUUUUUAGCACACAUAUAUACGGCGUCUAUACCCGGGCUACCCUGUUGUAGCUUUUGUGCGUAUAGAUGUUUUUUCCGUAUGUGCGAUUGUCAAUUCAUGGUGGGGACAGACCAUUGUUAAUUGUUGGUCUCGGUCUUAACUAGGAAUGCCUUGUACGGGUCUUUGGUUCAACAAACCACCCGGAAUACGUCCCUGCCCUUUGUACACACCGCCCGUCGCUCUUACCGAUGGACUUCUCUGUGAGUUUGAGGGACUGGGAACGCAGGAAUUUAUUUCUGCACACCUAUGGAAACUUAAACGAACAGUGUGGUCUAAAGGAAAGAGAAGUCGUAACAAGGCAUCGGUAGGUGAACCU